AAAAGAUGGCCAUCGGAGAUUAUCCAGCGGAGUACAAUCCCAAAAUCCACGGACCAUACGAUCCGGCCCGCUUUUACGGUAAACCCGAUACUCCAUUCGGA
rfam:Anopheles darlingi Cont3417, whole genome shotgun sequence.